GGGGGUUUAGCUCAGCUGGGAGAGCGCCUGCCUUGCAAGCAGGAGGCCACGAGUUCGAAUCUCGUAAUCGCCA
rnacentral:tRNA from 1 species